UCACCCCUCAAGCCUUGUGCUUGGUGUUGGACGGCUUGGUCGCGCCUCGGCUCGACCCCUCCCAAAAACAAUGACGGCGGCCUGUGGUUCCCCCGGUACACUGAGCUUUUUACUGAGCACGUACCGGAUAAGGGCGCCCGGGGCACGGUCCUCUCCUUUUUAAUAAGGAAACUUUCAA
rnacentral:misc_RNA from 1 species